UUCUUAUAUUGAAGUGAAAGAUCCCCGAAGGGAGACCCUUACUCAAGUCUCGGGAAAUCUUGGACCCCAGACACAGAGAGACCA
rnacentral:pre_miRNA from 14 species